rnacentral:tRNA from 1 species
UCUGCGCCUGGCCGGGGUUGGCCACGUCGGCGUUGUCGUUGAGCGCGGUGACGCUGUUCCAGCCCGCGGUGUAGGA